AGUUCUAAAAUGAAAUAGAUGGUUAGAUUGAUCGAUCUACAGUCUACUAGUCUACACUGACUGUAACUGAACUGAGGUUGAGCCUGCAAAAAAGACGCAAAAUGGCAAGCAACAGUCAAUAGGGAAGAUUAUCCACAAAGGUUGCAGACAAAAUUCGUCGUGAUGAACGUGUGAGUGUUGUAGAACGGACAAAUUUGAGAUAUCUUCCGGGACUUCCACGGAAAGUUGACUUGGUGACAUUGGACCUUUCAUUCAUUUCUAUACUUUUGGUCAUGCCUGCUGGGGUCAAUGUAAUGAAGGAAGAAGCUACAUUGGUUGCUCUGAUUAAACCCCAAUUUGAGGCUCCCAGAUCUCAAGUAAGAAUUCAUGCAUUUUUUCAAUUUUAUUUUUUUUAGUGAAAUUGCCCUAGGUCUAGGCUGGUUUUCUGUUCUCUGCAAUUACUUAUAUCAAGCUGAAUCGGAUUAUAUUUAAAUAGGAUUACUCUUGAGUAGGGGUUGAGGUUUACCAUUUGAAAUGGCUUUGUCAAGAUCUAAUAAAAGGGAUCUUUCUUUUGUUCAAAGCCUUUGAUAAA